rnacentral:lncRNA from 1 species
UCCGACGUAGUUAAUCCGCGCACUCACCAGCUGCCUGAUUAUGCCAUCGCUGAACUCCGUCGUGUUGCUGGAUUCCCUAGAUCCGAUGUCGAUGCCGAUGUGAGGAUAGCUCGGAUCCCACGGGUUGUUGACAAAAGUGUCAAACUCGACGGCGAAGACCGAUGGGCAUUUCCGGAGACUCCGAAGAUUCCGAGGUUGCCCCCGCUGCCGCCGUUGGGGAUGGUGGAGCCGACGGGGGCCAUGAAGAAGGUGAUGCCGUCAGCGGUGAGGUUGGUGGGGCUGGGUGUGAUUAUGAAGUUUACGGUGGUUUCAAAGUCGACUUGGCCGCCGGCUUGGGAGAACUGGACCGGGUUCGAGUGCAAGACCCGGCCGACACUGCCUAUCGUCGGGAAGGUGAGGCGGAGGAAGGGGGAGUUCCAUACGAAAUGGGCGUGGCCUUGGUAGGUGAGAUCGGUCGGCAAGUCGCUCCAGAAGUCGUAGGUGAAGGACGUCGAUUGGGACUGCGCAGUGUUGGCGGCAGCGGCGAGGAGGAGGAUGAUGGAGGAGAGGAGAGGAAUUAGGGUUUGGAGGAGCUUAGCCAUGGCUUAAUUGAGUAUAUUUAGAUGUGGUGGAUGAUGGUGGUAUCUCUUGCUCCUAUUUAUAGUGAAUAGUGUAUAGAGUAUAGUGUAUAUAUGCAUGAUAUUAUGAUUUAAUUUCCUAUGAAUUAUUGAACUUUCAUCAAAUUUUUAUUUUAUAUAUAAACUUCAAAUUAAAUGUAGCGUGAUAAUCACUAAAUUUAUUUAAUCUUAUAUUUGCUACCAAUCAGGAUUCUAGCCAAAUUNAAUAUAUUGGUGUGGGUCCGUGGACGUAGGCAGUUUGGCCGAACCACGUUAAAAAUAUCGGUGUCAUUUUUCUUCUCGUUUCAUAUCGGUCGAUAUCCACAAUAUUGAGUCACACUUGAUCCCGGGCGGAAUUAGUUGUGUCUAAUUUCCCAAUAACAAUCCUGGGCGGAAUUAUUGGCGUCUAUAAUUCCCAACAACAAUAUCAUGGAUGGCGACGUAUGGUUGGCUUAGUCCGCUGGCGGCGGAGAGCCCUACCUGAACCUGCUCGGGAAGAAAGCCGCUCAAAUCGUACUCAUAGAUGACCUCAAACGUCUUCGAGCCGGCGGUGGCACUGACGGUGAUCAUCUUCGUGGCUCCGACGUAGUUGAUCCGCGCAGUCACCUGCUGUCCGACUAAGGCGCCGUCGACCUCUGUCGUGUUGCGGGAUUCCCUAGAUCCGAUGUCGAUACCGAUGUGGGGGUAGUUCGGAUCCCACGGGCUGUUGACAUAGGUGUCAAACUCGACGGCGAAGACAGAUGGGCUAUUUCCGGGAGACUCCGAAGAUUCCGAGGUUGCCCCCGCUGCCGCCGUUGGGGAUGGUGGAGCCGACGGGGGCCAUGAAGAAGGUGAUGCCGUCAGCGGUGAGGUUGGUGGGGCUGGGUGUGAUUAUGAAGUUUACGGUGGUUUCAAAGUCGACUUGGCCGCCGGCUUGGGAGAACUGGACCGGGUUCGAGUGCAAGACCCGGCCGACACUGCCUAUCGUCGGGAAGGUGAGGCGGAGGAAGGGGGAGUUCCAUACGAAAUGGGCGUGGCCUUGGUAGGUGAGAUCGGUCGGCAAGUCACUCCAGAAGUCGUAG